rnacentral:lncRNA from 1 species
UUCUCAUAUAUAUAAAAAAAAUUUAAAAAAUAAUAAUAAAUAUAUAUAUCUCUAAAAUAAAAUAAAAAUAUUUUCUAUUUUUGUUACUUUAAUUAUCCCCUUUCUUCUUUCUUACUAAUUCUUGAUUUUUAUUUUGGUAUUAUUUGAUCAGGAAUCGAAGAGAAAAUCUGGGGCGAUCAAAAAGGGAACUACUGGAAAAAGAAUGCUGUAAAGGUUUGCUUUAAAAUAAAAAAAUUGCUGGAAAAAUUUUCUUUGGUAACAUCUGAACCUUUCUUAUUUAAAUUGAUUCCCAAUUAGCCUGAAAUAUUGUGGUGAUUGUUUGAUUUUAAUUUCAGUAAAAGUGUGAAUGUAUGCUUGAUACACAUACACCAAUUAAUCCACACAUAGUAAGGGCAAUCACCCCAACAAGAUAAGAACUGGAUUUCAUCACCAGAUUCUUGCCCAAAUUAGGUGAACCAAUUCGCA